GAGGAAGGCGGGCGGCGUGCCUAAUACAUGCAAGUCGAGCGAACAGAUGAGGAGCUUGCUCCUCUGACGUUAGCGGCGGACGGGUGAGUAACACGUGGAUAACCUACCUAUAAGACUGGGAUAACUUCGGGAAACCGGAGCUAAUACCGGAUAAUAUAUUGAACCGCAUGGUUCAAUAGUGAAAGACGGUUUUGCUGUCACUUAUAGAUGGAUCCGCGCCGCAUUAGCUAGUUGGUAAGGUAACGGCUUACCAAGGCAACGAUGCGUAGCCGACCUGAGAGGGUGAUCGGCCACACUGGAACUGAGACACGGUCCAGACUCCUACGGGAGGCAGCAGUAGGGAAUCUUCCGCAAUGGGCGAAAGCCUGACGGAGCAACGCCGCGUGAGUGAUGAAGGUCUUCGGAUCGUAAAACUCUGUUAUUAGGGAAGAACAAAUGUGUAAGUAACUAUGCACGUCUUGACGGUACCUAAUCAGAAAGCCACGGCUAACUACGUG
rnacentral:rRNA from 1 species